UACGAAGGGGGCUAGCGUUGCUCGGAAUCACUGGGCGUAAAGGGUGCGUAGGCGGGUUUUUAAGUCAGAGGUGAAAUCCUGGAGCUCAACUCCAGAACUGCCUUUGAUACUGAAAGUCUUGAGUAUGGGAGAGGUGAGUGGAACUGCGAGUGUAGAGGUGAAAUUCGUAGAUAUUCGCAAGAACACCAGUGGCGAAGGCGGCUCACUGGCCCAUACUGACGCUGAGGCACGAAAGCGUGGGGAGCAAACAGGG
rnacentral:rRNA from 1 species